GACGAACGUUGGCGGCGUGCUUACACAUGCAAGUCGAACGGAAAGGCCCUGCUUUUGUGGGGUGCUCGAGUGGCGAACGGGUGAGUAACACGUGAGUAACCUGCCCUUGACUUUGGGAUAACUUCAGGAAACUGGGGCUAAUACCGGAUAGGAGCUCCUGCUGCAUGGUGGGGGUUGGAAAGUUUCGGCGGUUGGGGAUGGACUCGCGGCUUAUCAGCUUGUUGGUGGGGUAGUGGCUUACCAAGGCCUUGACGGGUAGCCGGCCUGAGAGGGUGACCGGCCACAUUGGGACUGAGAUACGGCCCAGACUCCUACGGGAGGCAGCAGUGGGGAAUAUUGCACAAUGGGCGGAAGCCUGAUGCAGCAACGCCGCGUGCGGGAUGACGGCCUUCGGGUUGUAAACCGCUUUCGCCUGUGACGAAGCGUGAGUAACGGUAAUGGGUAAAGAAGCACCGGCUAACUACGUGCCAGCAGCCGCGGUGAUACGUAGGGUGCGAGCGUUGUCCGGAUUUAUUGGGCGUAAAGGGCUCGUAGGUGGUUGAUCGCGUCGGAAGUGUAAUCUUGGGGCUUAACCCUGAGCGUGCUUUCGAUACGGGUUGACUUGAGGAAGGUAGGGGAGAAUGGAAUUCCUGGUGGAGCGGUGGAAUGCGCAGAUAUCAGGAGGAACACCAGUGGCGAAGGCGGUUCUCUGGGCCUUUCCUGACGCUGAGGAGCGAAAGCGUGGGGAGCGAACAGGCUUAGAUACCCUGGUAGUCCACGCUGUAAACGGUGGGUACUAGGUGUGGGGUCCAUUCCACGGGUUCCGUGCCGUAGCUAACGCUUUAAGUACCCCGCCUGGGGAGUACGGCCGCAAGGCUAAAACUCAAAGGAAUUGACGGGGCCCCGCACAAGCGGCGGAGCAUGCGGAUUAAUUCGAUGCAACGCGUAGAACCUUACCUGGGUUUGACAUGGAUCGGGAGUGCUCAGAGAUGGGUGUGCCUCUUUUGGGGUCGGUUCACAGGUGGUGCAUGGCUGUCGUCAGCUCGCGUCGUGAGAUGUUGGGUUAAGUCCCGCAACGAGCGCAACCCUUGUUCACUGUUGCCAGCACGUUAUGGUGGGGACUCAGUGGAGACCGCCGGGGUCAACUCGGAGGAAGGUGGGGAUGACGUCAAGUCAUCAUGCCCCUUAUGUCCAGGGCUUCACGCAUGCUACAAUGGCUGGUACAGAGAGUGGCGAGCCUGUGAGGGUGAGCGAAUCUCGGAAAGCCGGUCUCAGUUCGGAUUGGGGUCUGCAACUCGACCUCAUGAAGUCGGAGUCGCUAGUAAUCGCAGAUCAGCAACGCUGCGGUGAAUACGUUCCCGGG
rnacentral:rRNA from 1 species